GAGACAUUCUCAAUUAUAAGAUUGGACGCGUACAGAGACACCCCCACUUGAAAAAAAGCUCCAUAUCAACUCUGCCCCUCACCGCACCACAAAAUACAAACACACACAGAGCAACUGAGAGAGACUUCAAUCUUCAAUGUUGUGUUACAUGAAAUGGCAAUUUCAGGUGCAGAAACUCAAUCAAAUCCUGCUGCCAAGCCUGGCCCUCAGGUGGAAGUAGAAUCAGUUAAAUGCUACUCUUGUGGAUUCACAGAGGACUGCACUCCUGCUUAUAUUUCUCGCGUCCGUGAGCGAUACCAUGGGCGGUGGAUUUGUGGGCUUUGUGUUGAAGCAGUGAAAGAUGAGGUUCUGAGAUCAGAUAGGCUCAUUUCUACCGAAGAAGCUCUAAAUAGGCACAUCAGUUUUUGUAACGAGUUCAGAUCAUCUAGUCCCCCUAACCAAACGGAGCAUCCUAUUUCUGUAAUGGGCAGGAUUCUUCGCCGGAGUUUGGACUGCCCACGAGCUAUUCGAUCUAAUUCCAGUGAGGUUUUGCCUGAUGUUGAUGUUGAAAAGAUUAAAGGGUCGGCGUUAGUUCGUUCUGGGAGUUGUUUCUCUGCUUUGUCUCGUUGAAUUCUCGUUUCUAGUUCGUAAAGUGUCUGUAGAAAAUGAAAAAAUAGAAGGAAUCUUACAGCUAAUAUUCAUCAUGAAAAUGAAAGUGGUAUUAAUCGAGACUAGCUAGUUUCGAUUCUAUUUUCUUCAAGUAUGCCUGUUCUGCAGAAUGACUUAAUUGUAAGGUAUCCAAAAGAAGGAAAACAUUGGCAAUAACAACAAAAGAAAAAAUGAAGUUGCUUGGAAAAUUCCCCAGAAAGAAAGAAGACAACGGUUGAAGAAGGUAGUCAGGUCCAGGAACUUGUCAGUUUUCUGCUCUACCCUCUAGUGUGACUUUGGCCUUAGCCAAAGGGAAACAAAUGGUCGGUGCUAUGAACCUUCUGGCCACACGAAUCUGGAUUCAUCUAGACAAAUCUUCGGCUAUAUGUGAAUUCUUCGAAAAAAUCAAGAAAGGACAGAAUAUGUGUGGGACAGGGUUGUGGACACCCCUUCUUUUUUGGGGUCUGUUUUUUUGGUCCAAGGUUUUGUCAGGGUCAUCAUCUGUUUUCAACUAGAGAAUGAGUAGGAGAAAGAGAGAGAGAACAUGAGAGAACGUGACAGAGUGAACGGUGCCUUAGUAUAAGACAUUGCUCUACCGUAAAUCGUGAUUCUAUGACUAUUUCAAAACGGUAAAUAUUAUGGCUGAGGUUUUCCACUUAUAUUGUCGGAGAUGUAUGUGCUACUAGUGUUCUUUCUUAGUUUGUUGUGCCUCUUUUAGAAUGUAUGUGGUUGAUUUUCUUCCUA